UAUCUCUCCAUACGGGGAAGGAUGAGAAACUUCGACCAAGGUUCGAUUCGAGCGUCAGCGAGAAAGCGUUGCCGCAGGCAACGACCCAAAGGGUGAGGAGCGGAGCGACGAAUAAUCCUUCCCCCACCACCA
rnacentral:sRNA from 1 species